UAUGGUUUUAUUCUUUUUAAGGUUAGCUGGGGGUUCAAUUUGUGCAUAUAUAGGUGAAAGCCGUUGAAUUUGCAGGUUGUGAUGGGGAUUUAACUCCCAAGUGAACUGGUGCCUUGACUAGGACUUUAACUCCCAGCCAUGCGGGUUUCUUGGUGAAAAGAUAUAGAGGUAAAAGUUAGUUAGAUUAUUGAUUAUGGAAAUGGGUCAAUUAGAAGUCGAACUCAAGUUUGAGCUGCUGAACUGCUGAAGCUUCAGGUCACUGAAACUUUAUGCUCUUUGUAGCUGCUGCUUUCUUAUUUAGAGGCUGUGUUCUUAUAAACUAGAUAUCAAAGAUAUGGAUGGGUUGGUAAUGGGUAAUAUGAGGGUGAAUUCAAUUGGUUCAUAACUUCCUAUUAUUACAUGUUGCCUGAAGCUACUAGAUGAUUCAGACGUUAUGAGGUUUGGAUAAUGGUUCGAAUCUACCUUUUUAAGUAUGGGUUGAGAACAAUUGGUCGGGUCGGGUUGGGCAAACUGACAAACAAAAUUCUUUGAAGGGAACCUCUCUUUCCUGCAAAGACCAUGUUCAACAACUGGAACUUAUAACCAAGGUAUCUUUGCUGUUAGUAUCAGUAACUAGAAAUUGAGUUGGGUCCUCAUCAUCGGAGAAGGCGAUUUUUGUGAAUUGAACAAUAACUAGGAAUUUUAUCGGUCCCUCACUCCCUCAUAAUCAGAGAAGGUGGUUUUGGAGGUGUGUAUCAAGCUAUGCUAAGGAAAACAGAUGGUUCGGGUCAGAACAUUGAUGUUGCUGUCAAACAAUUUAGCAAGAAGGGUUUGCAGUGCAAGUUUGACUUUGUUAAGUCAAAGUUAGAUUGGACUUUUCCAUACAAACUGUCUUGGUUGUGCUGUUAGCAACAAAAUGGUGCAAUUUUGAUGAUAUGAAAAGAGGACUGGACUAAAGAAUUGUGCUCAAGUGAAUGGUUUCAUCGUUUUUGGAGCAGAUUACAAGGCAAGAAAAUAGUGCAAAUGUGUAAUUGUUAAAGCUACAAGAUUUAGAUCAAAAUAUCUAUGUUGAAUCCCUUUUUACCUAAAAAUAUUUAUUGUUAAAGCUACAAUAUCUUAGUAGAAUUAGGCUCAUUGCUUUUGUUUUGUAAUAAAUUUUGUAAGCAAUAAAUUUCCAAGAGGGCACAUUGCCUUCUUAUCCAAAA